GAGAGAGAGAGAAAGACUAUCUAGAAAGUGAGUGAUAAGAAUAAUACAAAAAUCUCUGAUGAAUCCUGAAUAUCAACUGAGUAUCUAAUAAGUGGUAUUUCAACAAAGGAAGAAAAAUAUAUUUUAUCUUAUGCUAAAACAUAUUAGAAACGAAUUUGACUUGAAUGUGAAGCUUCUAAACUAAGUUAGGUGAGCAAUUAGGUAUAAUGUUGAGAGCUAAAGGAGAGGUCCAGAUUAGUGAUAAGGAGUUGAAUGUGAUCAUCAUGUAUUUGAAAGUUAAAGCCAUGAAAAUGUAUUUAUGAAAAAGAAAGUAAAUGAAUGAAGCACUUAGGUAGGAAACUUAUGAAUUAAAUAAGUAUAUCUAAUUAUUCAUUUCAAAGAAUAUGAUUACAGAAGCCUGAGUUUGUCUGUUAAUCAUUUUUAUUGGUAGAGAAAAACAAACAUUUGAUAGUAUCACUACAUAGACAGUAAUAAUGUUUAGUCUACUUCAUAGGGACUUAAAAUAUAUUCAAUUCACUUCAGUAUAGGAUUGUUCUUCAAGAAACCUAUAGUUGAUUUGAUAGAGAAGUAAGAAAAUUGACAUUCAAGUUGAAUCAUUAUUAUCUUUUCUUAAAAAAUAAGAGAAGUGCAGUGAUAUUGUCUGUUUGUGAAGAAGUGGUUAGCAUUGGAAAAUAGGUGGUUUCAGUUAUUUAACAAAGGAAGUGCAAGCAGUAUAUAGAUCUAUAUUUUGCAGUUUCAAUGACACUGAUGAUUUAUGCAGCGAGAUAUUUGACUAAGUGAGCUGGAGGAAUAAAAGCACAUGUUGAAUACUGGCAUGCUUGCCAAUAGGAAUGACCGUGGCAUAGUUACUGAACUUGGCAUAAUGUAAGAUGUGUUCACGCAAUUGGAUUACAGAAGGGUGAUACAUAUAGCUGAGGGUUUUGUGUUGUGGAAGGAACAAAGAUGCAAGCAGCUUUCACUUCUGCUGUGAAAGUGGAAAAAAAGAAGAAGAAAUGGAUGCAAGUUUUAAACCCAAUAUUCUAUUCAGAUCUUAAUUUCCAUGAAGCAUUGCUCAAUCAUCUGCAUCGGCCAAGGUGCUGUGAAGAAAACAGUAUCAGGCAGAGACUACCGAAUGUGUGGCAUUGGUGCUCACAAAAUCGUUGUACGGGCUGGAGGAGUGGAAGGCAGGAGGACAUUACACUUCUGUGGCUGCAAGCCAGAGGUUGAGAGACAGACUGCUGCUACCGUGAAUGCUGCCUUCCAAAUUGCUGUAACAAGGGUAGACAUGUAACGGGACCUGAACAUUAAAGCCUGAGAUUUGUUUAUCACCCCGCUUUUUACCGUAGCUUUUUUUCUAUCCCCAGAUUCCCUCUCCAUCACACCUCCUUACUCGAAAGAAGAGCCCUGUGUUUCCUGGCACAUUUAGCUUCUUCAGUACACUCCUAACAGUCCCAUGCAUCAUGUAUGUAAGGAUAAAACUCUGGCAAACGCUGACUUAAUGUAAUGUUUUGGCCCUAUUUAGCUCCCAGGGUGAUGUGUUUGCUCAGGGGAAGAGUGUGCAUUUCACAAUUGGGGUUUAGAAAACAUUUGUUUAGAAAAUGAAUAAAAUAGUAUCUCUUUUACUAUUUUUAAUUAAA
rnacentral:lncRNA from 1 species